rnacentral:rRNA from 1 species
AUUGAACGCUGGCGGCAGGCCUAACACAUGCAAGUCGAACGAGUGGCGGACGGGUGAGUAAUGUCUGGGAAACUGCCUGAUGGAGGGGGAUAACUACUGGAAACGGUAGCUAAUACCGCAUACCAUCAGAUGUGCCCAGAUGGGAUUAGCAUGUUGGUGGGGUAACGGCUCACCUAGGCGACGAUCCCUAGCUGGUCUGAGAGGAUGACCAGCCACACUGGAACUGAGACACGGUCCAGACUCCUACGGGAGGCAGCAGUGGGGAAUAUUGCACAAUGGGCGCAAGCCUGAUGCAGCCAUGCCGCGUGUAUGAAGAAGGCCGUCGGGUUGUAAAGUACUUUCAGCGGGGAGGCGUUACCCGCAGAAGAAGCACCGGCUAACUCCGUGCCAGCAGCCGCGGUAAUUC